AUACGUAGGGUGCAAGCGUUAAUCGGAAUUACUGGGCGUAAAGCGUGCGCAGGCGGUUUUGUAAGACAGUGGUGAAAUCCCCGGGCUCAACCUGGGCACUGUCAUUGUGACUGCAAGGCUGGAGUGCGGCAGAGGGGGAUGGAAUUCCGCGUGUAGCAGUGCAAUGCGUAGAUAUGCGGAGGAACACCGAUGGCGAAGGCAAUCCCCUGGGCCUGCACUGACGCUCAUGCACGAAAGCGUGGGGAGCAAACAGGAUUAGAUACCCUGGUAGUCCACGCCCUAAACGAUGUCAACUGGUUGUUGGGGAUUUAUUUUCUCAGUAACGAAGCUAACGCGUGAAGUUGACCGCCUGGGGAGUACGGCCGCAAGGUUAAAACUCAAAUGAAUUGACGGGG
rnacentral:rRNA from 1 species